rnacentral:rRNA from 1 species
CCCUAGUAACUGCGAGUGAAGAGGGAAGAGCUCAAAUUUAAAAUCUGUCAGUCUUUGGCUGACUGAGUUGUAAAUUAGAGAAGUGCUAUCAGUGCUGGCCUGUGCAAAAGUCUCUUGGAAAAGAGCAUCAUAGAGGGUGACAAUCCCGUCUUUGGUACAGAUCUCCAGUGCUUCCAUGAUGCGCUCUCGAUGAGUCGAGUUGUUUGGGAAUGCAGCUCUAAAUGGGUGGUAAAUUCCAUCUAAAGCUAAAUAUUGGCGAGAAACCGAUAGCGCACAAGUACCGUGAGGGAAAGAUGAAAAGAACUUUGAAAAGAGAGUUAAACAGUACGUGAAAUUGUUGAAAGGGAAACGCUUGAAGUCAGUCGCGUUCUUCAGAAAUCAACCUGACUUUGGUCUGGCUUACUUUCUGUUGGAUGGGUCAGCAUCAAUUUUGAUCGUUGGAUAAAGGCCUUGGGAAAGUGGCAUCUCCGGAUGUGUUAUAGCCCUUGGAUCACAUACAAUGGUUGGGAUUGAGGAACUCAGUGUGAAUUUGGAGCCUUGCUCACAACACGCACUUAGGAUGCUGGCAUAAUGGCUUUAAUCGACCCGUCUUGAAACACGGACCAAGGAGUCUAACAUACAUGCGAGUGUUUGGGUGGAAAACUCAAGCGCGCAAUGAAAGUGAAAGUUGAGAACCCUGUCGUGGGGUGCAUCGACGCCCGGACCUGACCUUUUGUGAUGGACCUGCGGUAGAGCAUGCAUGUUGGGACCCGAAAGAUGGUGAACUAUGCCUGAAUAGGGUGAAGCCAGAGGAAACCCUGGUGGAAGCUCGUAGCGAUUCUGACGUGCAAAUCGAUCGUCGAAUUUGGGUAUAGGG